rnacentral:rRNA from 1 species
AGGACGAACGCUGGCGGCGUGCUUAACACAUGCAAGUCGAGCGGUAAGGCCCUUCGGGGUACACGAGCGGCGAACGGGUGAGUAACACGUGGGUGAUCUGCCCUGCACUUCGGGAUAAGCCUGGGAAACUGGGUCUAAUACCGGAUAUGACCUCCUAUCGCAUGGUGGGUGGUGGAAAGAUUUUAUCGGUGCAGGAUGGGCCCGCGGCCUAUCAGCUUGUUGGUGGGGUAAUGGCCUACCAAGGCGACGACGGGUAGCCGACCUGAGAGGGUGCCGGCCACGACUGGGACUGGAGACACGGCCCAGACUCCUACGGGAGCAGCAGUGGGAAUAUGCACAAUGGGACAAAGCCUGAUGCAGCGACGCGCGUGAGGAUGACGGCUUCGGGUUGUAACCUCUUCAGCGAGGACGAAGCGACAAGUGACGGUACCUAGACCAAGGAAAGAACGCGAACCGACGUAAACUACCGUAGACCGA